rnacentral:rRNA from 1 species
UACGUAGGGUGCGAGCGUUAAUCGGAAUACUGGGCGUAAAGCGUGCGCAGGCGGUUUUGUAAGCCAGAUGUGAAAUCCCCGGGCUCAACCUGGGAACUGCAUUUGUGACUGCAUCGCUGGAGUGCGGCAGAGGGGGAUGGAAUUCCGCGUGUAGCAGUGAAAUGCGUAGAUAUGCGGAGGAACACCGAUGGCGAAGGCAAUCCC